rnacentral:rRNA from 1 species
AUGGCUGUCGUCAGCUCGUGUCGUGAGAUGUUGGGUUAAGUCCCGCAACGAGCGCAACCCUUGUCCUGUGUUGCCAGCAACUCUUUUUGAGGUUGGGGACUCACGGGAGACUGCCGGGGUCAACUCGGAGGAAGGUGGGGAUGACGUCAAGUCAUCAUGCCCCUUAUGUCUUGGGCUGCACACGUGCUACAAUGGCCGGUACAGUGGGUUGCGAUACCGUGAGGUGGAGCGAAUCUCCAAAAGCCGGUCUCAGUUCGGAUCGGGGUCUGCAACUCGACCCCGUGAAGUCGGAGUCGCUAGUAAUCGCAGAUCAGCAGUGCUGCGGUGAAUACGUUCCCGGGCCUUGUACACACCGCCCGU